rnacentral:rRNA from 1 species
CAGUCGCCGCGGGAAUACGUAGGUGGCAAGCGUUGUCCGGAAUUAUUGGGCGUAAAGCGCGCGCAGGCGGAUAGGUCAGUCUGUCUUAAAAGUUCGGGGCUUAACCCCGUGAUGGGAUGGAAACUGCCAAUCUAGAGUAUCGGAGAGGAAAGUGGAAUUCCUAGUGUAGCGGUGAAAUGCGUAGAUAUUAGGAAGAACACCAGUGGCGAAGGCGACUUUCUGGACGAAAACUGACGCUGAGGCGCGAAAGCCAGGGGAGCGAACGGGAUUAGAUACCCCCGUAGUCCCUGUCUCUUAUACA